rnacentral:rRNA from 1 species
UGAAUACGAGACGCUAAGGCGUCGAAGUAGUGUAUGUCAUACUUCCAAGAAAAGCUUGCACUGUCAUAGAUAAAAAACGCCUGUACCAUAACCGACACAGGUGGGUAGGUAGAGUAUACUAAGGGGCGCGAGAUAACUCUCUCUAAGGAACUCGGCAAAAUAACUCCGUAACUUCGGGAGAAGGAGUGCCUUAUUCGUAAGGUUGCAAUAACAAGAUCCAAGCAACUGUUUAUCAAAAACACAGGUCUCCGCUAAGUCGUAAGACGAUGUAUGGGGGCUGACGCCUGCCCAGUGCCAGAAGGUUAAAGAAGUUGGUUAGCAAUUGCGAAGCUGAUAACUGAAGCCCUGGUGAACGGCGGCCGUAACGAUAACGGUCCUAAGGUAGCGAAAUUCCUUGUCGGGUAAGUUCCGACCCGCACGAAAGGCGUAAUGAUUUGGAUACUGUCUCGGAGAGGGGCUCGGUGAAAUAGACUUGUCUGUGAAGAUGCGGACUACCUGCACCAGGACAGAAAGACCCUAUGAAGCUUUACUGUAACUUGAAAUUGAAAUUGGACUUUAUUCGCGCAGUAUAGGUGGGAGGCGUUGAUUAUAAUCUUGUGGGAUUAUUGGAGCCAUCAGUGAGAUACCACUCUUGUAAUGUUAGAUUUCUAACUUUGAAUCAUUAUCUGGUCAAAGAACAGUUUCAGGCGGGCAGUUUGACUGGGGCGGUCGCCUCCUAAACGGUAACGGAGGCGUACAAAGGUUUCCUCUGAACGGUUAGAAAUCGUAUCUAGAGUGUAAAGGCAUAAGGAAGCUUGACUGUGAGACCUACAAGUCGAGCAGGGACGAAAGUCGGUCUUAGUGAUCUGACGGUACUGAGUGGAAAGGCCGUCACUCAACGGAUAAAAGUUACUCUAGGAUAACAGGCUGAUCUCCCCCAAGAGUUCACAUCGACGGGGAGGUUUGGCACCUCGAUGUCGGCUCAUCGCAUCCUGGGGCGGUAGUACGUCCCAAGGGUUGGGCUGUUCGCCCAUGAAAGCGGUACGCGAGCUGGGUUCAGAACGUCGUGAGACAGUUCGGUCCAUAUCCGGUGUAGGCGUUAGAAUAUUGAGAGGAGCCUUCUUUAGUACGAGAGGACCGAGAAGGACAUACCUCUGGUGUACCAGUUAUCGUGCCAACGGUAAACGCUGGGUAGCUAUGUAUGGAGUGGAUAACCGCUGAAAGCAUCUAAGUGGGAAGCCCACCUCAAGAUAAGUAUUCUCA